AACAAAUCCGGAUAACGAACUAAAACCGUGGAAACACAUCAAUAAACUUUUAUACUUGUUUUGGUCUGAGUGUCACUGAUGAUUCUUAUGUAGACGAAACGUGCGUCUGACGUAUCAAUAUAUUAGCAUGGUACGUACCUUUGAUAAUUAUAGAUUUAAACUGUAAUAGGAAACAAAGGAAUGACAGAAUCACUGAACUACUACAAAAUAAAACAAACGCCAACAUACAUAGAAACUGACUAUUUGAUACCAACUGCCAUAUUCUUGACUUGGAACACAUUAAUUAAGUACAAAUGAUGGAGUAAAAAUUAUUAAUCGGGAUUAAACGUGUAGGAAUAAGCCAUCUGCUGUUGUCAAUACACCAUGGAUAUAAUAGCUAGUCUUCGAAAAACAACGUAUAUAUUUGAACAAUUUUCCUGGUAGCAAAAACAUUUUAUCGAAAUGAUACAAUUGUUUGUGAAUAUUCGUGUUGAUUGCUCUGUUCUUUGCCAUCAACUCAUAUGUAUGAUAUACAGAUUUAUAAACUGGAGGGAUGAAAAUUUCAGGAACUUAAUUUUCGGCUCUCCCUUGACACCAUCUGCGAGUAUGGUCUUGAGAAAACGAUGAUAGUCCGUCGGAAGGGGACGAUAAAUGGCUGACCCGUGUUAAGAGAGAGCCAUAUCUCUUGCACGUUAAAGACACCCUUGUAGAUUUCGAAAAAG
rnacentral:lncRNA from 1 species